rnacentral:lncRNA from 1 species
CAAAGAUUAUCUGCUCCCCCUGCUGGAGGAUAUGUUCGCUGUGAUGCAGAAUAUUCUCCGUGUGAUGCAGACUAUGUUCCCUGUGAUGAUGAAUAUAUUUCUACUGAUAUACUAUAUACUCCCUGUGCCCCAAGUUAUAGCAGUUAUCAAGAUGAUGAUAUUUCUUUAUCUCGCAGUGAUCAUAGUAGAGAUAUUGAUUCAUCGAUGCAACAAGACAAUGAAUUAGAUGAUGAAAUCUCCAAUUCAUCACAUGGUUCACAUUGUUUUACUUAUCGAUUUUCGAAAAGAAAUACAAGCCCAUUAGAAGAAGCAGCAGGAGAAACACUGAUAGAAUCAAGUAUUGAAAAUAAAGAUAAGAAAAAAAAAAAGAAGGAAAUGAAGGCAUUUGAAGAAGAACCAAUAACUGAGAAAGAGCAAAUAGUGAGAAGGAAUCUUAUUUCGGACUCGUUAGAUAUACAGUCUCA